AUGCACAGCUAUGUGGUUGUUUUAAAUACACAAUGUGUAAUUCUCUGUUUUAUUUAGUUGAAGAGUAAACCAACUAUGAGUAGCACAAAAAGCCUCUUUUUUUGGUUAAUUGUUCAUUGAGGAAAAUGCUGUUUAUUGUGAAGUGAAUAGUAAUUGAAUAAUCUGCCACCAUGUAGAGCUGGUAUCUCAAGUCAAAGCAAAAAUAAUCGGCCAAAUUUCCUCGAAAAUAUAUAAAUAGCAAUUGCAGAAGAUUUACACAGAGUUUUAACUACAUCAUACAUUGCUCAAAAUAUAUUAAAAAGCCAGAUAUUCCAUAAUUGUUUGCGUUGCUCCCAAUUUAAGGUCAAGUUCCAGAAUUAGCUCUAUGCAUUUAUGUAACAUUUUGAUGAACUAACUUCUCUUUGAAAGUAUAUCACAGAAAACAAACAAUAAAUUGACUGUUUUAUUUAUUCACUAACAAGUGCCUAGUGAAUUAAUAACCUUGUGUCAAGGAAAUGUUGACUCUUGAACUCAGUUAAUUCAACAUCCAACCAGUGCCCAAUAUGAGACUGAAUGUGAUAUCAGUGGAUUAAAUAACCUUUCUCCAGCGUAUUCGUCCUCUCCUCCAAAUGGGCAGGUCGUCCAACAUUAUUGGCAAUGCCGAACUGCACCAUCACUGUGUGACUGAAUAAUCACUGGCGCAGGCCUGUACUUAACGGUACCCCGUGAAUCGAUGGCAAUGUUUUAUUUAUUUAUUUGUUUGUUUGUUUAUUUAUUUAUUUAUUUAUUUAUUUUUCUCUUGUUUUAUUUAGGGGGGGUAUUACAAUAUUGCAAACAAACCCGCAACUCACGAGUAGAAGCAGGUGAGCAGGUGGAGGAUGGAGGCAGAGCGUCGAAGCUUACCCGGAGUGAGGCGUGUGUUCCCUCCGCCUGGUACGCCGUGUUUCCGGACGGACAGUCGGGUGGAAAAAGCAGCCUGAGUGCAGCAGACUGAUCUCAGUCAGGCCGGCGUCGCGCUGGCGGAUAAGUAGGCAAGCAGGGCGGGUGACUCCCGUUCAGCCCGUGGAGCCUCUCCUCUGGCAACGUGUUCGAGAGGGGAGGGGCCAGCACGUUGCGAACCUGCUUCAAAAAUAAAACAAAACACGGAGCUCGGCGGAAACAAAAAUUGAAGUGAACACGUGACCAGUCUGAAUGUUUUUUUUUUUUUAAUCCAACUCUUCGACUGAGUCACAACCACCGAAAAACGUGACGAAGACUAAGCGUAAUUAUUGUUCACUGAAUAAGCGGGACGGACAGCUAAUUAAUAUUCAUGACCACAGGGCUUCUAUUGGUCAGUAGCAGCUCAGCGCAAGACAACUCAGAGCCGAGCCCCUGAGCAAAAAUUGGUUUAGUAGCCCUCAACUUCUACAUAUUAGUUGCUGAUUAUUCGUAAAACUUCACAUUAAAUUGUUACAUUGAAUUAUUAUAAUGUGUAAAUUUAAAUGACACAACAAGCGACUGGCAAAAUUCCAAGUGGGAAAGCGAUACU